rnacentral:rRNA from 1 species
GAGUUUGAUCCUGGCUCAAUUGAACGCUGGCGGCAUGGCUAAAACAUGCAAGUCGCACGAGAACCACACUUCGGUCUGGGGACAGUGGCGAAAGGGCGAGUAACGGUAUCGAAUGUACCCCGAGGUGGGGGAUAGGUCGGGGAAACCCGGCGUAAUACCCCAUGAUCUCUCCGGAGCAAAGCUACAGCGCCUUGGGAGCAGCGAUACUCCUAUCAGGUUGUUGGUGGGGUAAAGGCCCACCAAGCCGAAGACGGGUAGCGGGUGUGAGAGCAUGACCCGCCACAUCGGGACUGAGACACUGCCCGGACUCCUACGGGAGGCUGCAGUAACGAAUAUUCCGCAAUGCGCGAAAGCGUGACGGAGCAAUGCCGCGUGCAGGAUGAAACGGUUUCACCGUGUAAACUGCUGUCAGGGGUGAGGAAGAACUGACCAACCCCAAAUGAAGGGCCGGCUAAUCUCGUGCCAGCAGCCGCGGUAAUACGAGAUGCCCGAGCGUUAAUCGGAAUCACUGGGCUUAUAG